rnacentral:tRNA from 1 species
UGGGGCAGAGCUCAGUGGUAGAGGCCUUACCUAGGAUGCAUGAGGCCCUGGGUUCCAUCCCCAGCCCGAA